AUUGAACGCUAGCGGGAUGCCUUACACAUGCAAGUCGAACGAGAGGCGGACGGGUGAGUGAUAUAUCGGAACGUGCACAGUAGAGGGGGAUAACUAGUAGAAAGAGUGGAUAAUACAGCAAACGAUUGGCGCGGCCGAUAGCGGAUUAGCUAGUUGGUGGGGUAAAGGCUCACCAAGGCAACGAUCCGUAGCAGGUUUGAGAGGACGACCAGCCACACUGGGACUGAGACACGGCCCAGACUCCUACGGGAGGCAGCAGUGGGGAAUUUUGGACAAUGGGUGAAACCCUGAUCCAGCCAUCCCGCGUGUAUGAGAAGGCCUUCGGGUUGUAAAGUACUUUUGGCAGAGAAGCGGUAUCUGCAGAAUAAGCACCGGCUAACUACGUGCCAGCAGCCGCGGUAAUUC
rnacentral:rRNA from 1 species